UACAGUUGAAUGGUUGGUUGCAGAUGAACCAUAUUCAAUUUGAUGGUCACCCAAAUUGGUCGCACGAACUGAGACUUCUAGCGAUGAAGCCGAUAAUGUCAAGAGUUUAUCCGAUGUGCAAGGUGAAUGGCGUGCAAUUUAUAUGCGAACAAAGAGACAUCAGAAGGAGAACACAGAAUUCUGGGGUCAUGGCACAUGGUGGGCGGAAUGGAGUUGACUAUUACAGUGUUCUCCAUUCAGUGGUGGAACUCGUUUAUGGGCAAGGCAUGACAGUGCACCUCUUCAAGUGUAGAUGGUUUGAUACUAGGCCGCAGAGCAUAAAGACCGAUCAGUACGGAAUAUUAUCGGUGAACACUGCUACAAGUUUUUACGAAGAUGACCCGUUCGUUUUUGCCACAUCGGUAAAACAAGUGUUUCAUCUUGAUGACCUUACUAAGGGUGACGCGUGGAAAGUAGUCAACCUUGUGCACCCUCGAAACAUUUACCGAGCGGCUACACUUGGAGAGGCCGAAGACGAGGAAGAGGAUGUUGCGUAUCAAGAGCCCAACGCAAUAGGUAUUCCUAACUCCUCUACCGUUCGCCUUAAUAAUUUUAAAGCGGGUCGUUCGGUGCGAAUUCAUGAUGAAGAGCCAAGGCUUAUUGAUGUUGAUCCAAAUCAAGAAACAGACGAAGACUCUGGCGAUGAGGAAAGACAUAUAUUACCAGAAAUUAAUUCUGACACCGAAGAAGACUCAACCUUGGUGAUAUAUGAUGAACAGGAAGUUAGUAUGGUUUACUAAUAUCGUCUGUUUUUUUUAAUGUAUUUUUUCCUUAAGCCGACGAAAUACACCAUAAUUCGUCGGCUAAACCCAUCUUAGCCGACGAAUUAUAGUGUAUUUCGUCGGCUAAAACCAUCUUAGCCGACGAAUUAUAGUGUAUUUCGUCGGCUAAACCCAUUUUAGCCGACGAAAUAUACUAUAUUUCGUCGACUAAUACUGUUUUAGCCGACGAAUAACCUAAUAUUUCGUCGGUUUUAGUUAUUUUUUAAUUUUUCAAUUACAUACUAUAGCCGACGAAUACGUUAGGGUAUUCGUCGGCUAAACCCUAAAAUUUUUCUAUUACCUACUAUAGCCCUAUCUUCGGUGGUUAUUUUCCAUAAAAUUUUUAGACGACUUCUUGCGUCUCAUCGGUUUUAAACUAUUUUCAGUUGGAGGUUCGGCCAAAAUACGUAAUUUAGACGGUCGAACGACCUUUUCCGUGCGUUUAGGGGUUUGACUUAGGAGAUUGACAGUCCGGAUCGAGCCCUUAUUCUUUUCGGAUCAAGUUGAAUUUUUUCCCAUACAUGUAUUUUGUCAGGAGGGUCAGAUCUGACGGUCGGAUUUCUGUUUCUCAAGUUUGAUCAUCACAAUCACAACAUGCAUACUAAUGUUGUAUAACUUGUUUACCAAAUGUUAUGUAAAUGUUUCGUUUCAAAAACAAACUAUAUGUAAAACAUUCAAACGCAAAAAAGUCAUGACAUAAGAUAUGACGAGAAUGUUGAAAUACAUCCACGGUUGAAAAAUCACACUAUUCCGGUAAAUAUUCGGUGCCGAUAGUUGCGGUCAAUACAAUUUUUCAUGCUUUCCCCCUAUGAGUAGCCCUAUAUUCGGUGGUUAUUUUGCGUAAAAUUUUUAUAUGACUUGUUGCGUGUCAUCCAUUUAAAACUAUUUUCAGUUGAAGGUCCGGCCAAAAUACGUAAUUUAGACGGUCGAACGACCUUUUCCGUGCGUUUAGGGGUUUGAGUUAGGAGAUUGACCGUCCGAAUCGAGCCCUUAUUCUUGUCGGAUCAAGUUGAAUUUUUGGUCAUACAUGUAUUUUGUCAUGGUGGUCAGAUCUGACUGUCGGAUUUCUUUUUCUCAAGUUUGAUCAUCACAAUCACAAUGUGCCAAAUGUAUAAAAUACUUUAGCCGACGAAUUUCAAAGGUUUAGCCGACGAAUUUCAAAGUUUUAGCCGACGAAUUUAGAAGGUUUAGCCAACGAAUUUAUUCUUAGCCGACGAUAUUCUUAGCUUUAGCCGACGAAAUAAUUAUUUCGUCAGCUAAAGUUUUCGGGUUUAACUGCUCGACAGCAGAAAAACCCUAGCCUCCUCCCUCCCUCUCCCGUCUCCGCCUCCUCCCUCCUCCCUGCCUCCCUCUCCCGGUCUCUGCCUCCUCCCUCCCUCCUCCCUCCCUCUCCCGUCCCCGCCUCCUCCCUCCUCCCUCCCUCCUCCCUCCCUCCCUCCUCCUCCCUCCCUCCCUCUCCCGGUCUCCACCUCCUCCCUCCUCCCUCGCUCUCCCGGUCUCCAAGGUUAGCGUUUUUCUUCUUUUUUACCCUUGAUUUCGAAUUGAUUUUUAGGCUAUGUUUUAUGUUUUAUGUACUUUCUAAUUUCCCUAAUUUAUGUUUAGGAGAUAAAUUAUCCUCAUUUUUUAAACAUAUGCUUUGUUGAUAAUGAACUUGAUGCUUGCAUUCCAUGAUUAGGUAUAAUUCAUAUUUCUAUAUAUAUAUUUUUUAUUGAAUUCAUAUUUUUGAAUAAGUAUAAUUUUAAACAUAUAUAUAUUUCACAUUAUAUUAAGUGUUUAAAUUUAAACAUGAACAUAAUGAAAAAAUAUGGUUUCAAAAAUAUUUUUUAUAGAAUAAAGACAAAAUAAUCUAGAGCCUUAGAUUUGAGAAGGAUAAGAUUGAAUUUUUACUUUUUCAAUGUUGCCUUAGCCUUGAUUCAAAUUAAAAUUUUAAAUAGGAUGAGCGGCUAUUUUAGAUCGAAGAAGAGUUCGAAGGGCCAAAGGUCCGAAUCGUCUGAGGGAACCUCUAGCAACCCCCAAACGACGUUUCAGGGCCAUAUGACAGCCAGACGUGCAAGCCUUCUGGAGACGGCGCAGAGGCAACCGGAGGUGCCCCUUUCAUCGAGGCAGGCGGCCGUCCCUCGUUCCUCGAGGCAGCUGUGGCCUCAGAN
rnacentral:lncRNA from 1 species